AGUGAACGCUGGCGGUAGGCCUAACACAUGCAAGUCGAACGGCAGCACAGUAAGAGCUUGCUCUUACUGGUGGCGAGUGGCGGACGGGUGAGGAAUACAUCGGCAUCUACUUUUUCGUGGGGGAUAACGUAGGGAAACUUACGCUAAUACCGCAUACUACCUACGGGUGAAAGCAGGGGAUCUUCGGACCUUGCGCGACUGAAUGAGCCGAUGUCGGAUUAGCUAGUUGGCGGGGUAAAGGCCCACCAAGGCAACGAUCCGUAGCUGGUCUGAGAGGAUGAUCAGCCACACUGGAACUGAGACACGGUCCAGACUCCUACGGGAGGCAGCAGUGGGGAAUAUUGGACAAUGGGCGCAAGCCUGAUCCAGCCAUACCGCGUGGGUGAAGAAGGCCUUCGGGUUGUAAAGCCCUUUUGUUGGGAAAGAAAAGCAGCAGGUGAAUACCCCGCUGUUCUGACGGUACCCAAAGAAUAAGCACCGGCUAACUUCGUG
rnacentral:rRNA from 1 species